UUUGAAUGAGUGUCGACCACAAUAAGGAACAUGUGAUCCAUGAAAGGUCCAGCAUAGUCAAUGUGAAUGCGUUGCCAUGGGGCAACAGGCCAUUCCCAAGUGUGGACAGGGGCAAUCUGAGGCCAGGCCACCACACAUAACUUCUAGCAAGACUUUUCAUCUUAACUACCCCCAUGUGCCCAUCAUGCAGCGAGUUUAGAACUUUGGAUCGCAGUUUGGGAGGUACAACAACGCGUGACCCCCACAGGACACAUCCUUGGGACACAGUAAGUUGGUCUUUUCUGGUGAAAUAGUCCUUAAGUUCAGUAUCUGCAUGCAUUGGCCAGCCAUUAACAGUUAAGUCAUACACUCGAGAUAGCAGAGGGUCGUUUCUUGUUUCUUUGCUUAUUUGAGCGCAAGUCACCGGAAGUGGUUCCAUUUGCAG